rnacentral:rRNA from 1 species
CCCGCUGAACUUAAGCAUAUCAAUAAGCGGAGGAAAAGAAACUAACAAGGAUUCCCCUAGUAACGGCGAGUGAAGCGGGAUGAGCUCAAAUUUGAAAUCUGGCUGGUUUACUAGUCCGAGUUGUAAUUUAAAGAAGCGUUUUCGGUGGCAGCCUGGGUAUAAAUCCUUUGGAAUAGGGUAUCAUAGAGGGUGAGAAUCCCGUCUUUGACCUAGUGCAUGCUACUAUGUGAUACGUUUUCAAAGAGUCGAGUUGUUUGGGAAUGCAGCUCAAAAUGGGUGGUAAAUUUCAUCUAAAGCUAAAUAUUGGCGAGAGACCGAUAGCGAACAAGUACCGUGAGGGAAAGAUGAAAAGAACUUUGAAAAGAGAGUUAAACAGUGCGUGAAAAUUGUGAAGGGAAACGUUUGACACCAGUCAUGUGGGUGGAAAAUCAGUCUUUUGCAUUGGGGAGUUGUAAAGGUUCGGACCGCAAGGCCGGCUUUUUGCUUCAUCUUUGGUGUAAGGGAUGCACUUUUUCAUCUGCAGGUCAACAUCAGUUUCUUUUGCUGGACAAAACUCCGAGAGAAGGUAGCAGCUUAGGCUGUGUUAUAGCUCUGGAGCGAUACAGUGAAGGGGACUGAGGUUUUCGCAGCGUGUGCUCUCGGGCAAGGCUGGAUGGGUGCUAUGGGAUCGUUCGGGGUACAAUGCCUGGCAUUUUGCUUCGUGUCUUUUCUAUACUCGCUCAACUCAGCUCUUCCACGCUUAGGAUGUUGACUUAAUGGUUUUAAACGACCCGUCUUGAAACACGG